UGUCCAGUGAUGGGAAUCGAACCCACAAUGUUCCGCUUACCGGGCAGAUGCCAUGUCCACUAGGCUACCCUGGAC